UGCACUGCAGGGAUGGAGAAUGGCCAGAGAGAUUCUGGGCCUCACGGGCAAACGUGGGCCCCCAGCCAUGAUUCUGUUUUUUCUUAAAUGCUUAUUCUCUCAACUCUACCAGCCACACCUCAGCACCUAAACCAGUCCUUGACAAGAGAAAGGACUGGCUCAGACCAACCACAUUUCAAUUCUAGGGGAGAGAAAGCCUCCCUACCCUCUGAGCAAGUGGCUGUGGAGAGCUUUGCCGCAGGAAGAAGUGGAAGUGACCAUUGGGAAGGAAACCACCAGUGAAGCCCAAGGAGAAACCCGGUGUCGUGCUCUGGCCUCAGAAACAACAUAGAAACAGGAGGAGGUGAUGAAGAAACAAAGUCUCACUGCGGACACAUGACCUGCCCAAGGUGUCCAGGCAGGACUGAAGGCCAGAGCUGCCCCCUCGUGUCGGUGGGCUCCUGAUUCGUGUGUAUUGUGGUGUGGCCUGGAAACCUGCUUACACCUGCUCUCCAGACUCUGGCCUCCUUGUGGAUGGUCUAACUCAAGGACAAGACUCUACACACACCACCUCUCCCAUGACGAUAGCCUGUGUUGACCAGAUGUCUCUGCUCCACCCUCUCUGUGUUCUUGACAUCCCCAUGGGCUCGGCAUGAGCAGGGCUGCUGUCUGGCCAGUUUCACAGACACUCAGUGUCCUGAGGUGCAUCCAGUGGGGGCUCUGGAGCCUCCCUUUGAACACAGUCUGGGAGGACUGAUCGGGGAGGCCUUUGUGAACAUCUAAGAUUCCUCCAUGAGUGCUUGUUAACUGGAGGGACGUGUGAUGGUUGAUUAGUCCCGUGUGCUAGGCUUUACCACCCUGGAUGGGAGAACUCCCAGAUGCCCUCACAUCCUUGCCCUUCCCCGCUUUCUCCCGGUGACUUACUUUCAUCCGUUAGUGUCCCCCUGCUGCCUUUCCCUCCGGGUGACAGUUAUCCACUCUGCUCUGGCAGAUUGCCCCUGUGCAUGAUAAAUAGUCGUCAUUUUCUUUUCAAGAGUCCCACAGCCAAUAAAAAGCAAUAAAAAGCGAAA